rnacentral:rRNA from 1 species
UACGUAGGAUGCAAGCGUUGUCCGGAAUGAUUGGGCGUAAAGCGUCCGCAGGUGGGACUUCAAGUCUGCUGUUAAAUACUAGGGCUUAACCCUGGAGCGGCAGUGGAAACUGAAGAGCUAGAGUUCGGUAGGGGUAGAGGGAAUUCCCAGUGUAGCGGUGAAAUGCGUAGAGAUUGGGAAGAACACCGGUGGCGAAAGCGCUCUGCUGGGCCGAAACUGACACUGAGGGACGAAAGCUAGGGGAGCGAACGGG